GGAAAAUCCCCAUUGGAAAUCUGAAAAGCUGCUGCCAACUUGUGUCGACAACACAGGCAUGUAUAGAAGCGGUAAUCUCAUUUAAGCCAUACCAUCUUGACAUAUUUAUUGCGCCGAGUGUAUCCAUAUGCCCUGGAAAAGAAUUUGAUACCUUACGAAAGAAGCUUCAAAACUGUACGAGCAGAAGCUAAUAAAGAUAAGUGCUGAGGCUCAAACUGAGCCGAAACAUGGCCAGGCUAUCUUCGCCGCAAAGCAUUUGAG